UACGGAGGAUCCAAGCGUUAUCCGGAUUCAUUGGGUUUAAAGGGUGCGUAGGCGGAAUAGUAAGUCAGUGGUGAAAGCCUGCAGCUUAACUGCAGAACUGCCAUUGAUACUGCUAAUCUUGAGUACAUUUGAUGUGGGCGGAAUGUGUCGUGUAGCGGUGAAAUGCUUAGAUAUGACACAGAACACCGAUUGCGAAGGCAGCUCACAAAACUGUAACUGACGCUGAGGCACGAAAGCGUGGGGAUCGAACAGG
rnacentral:rRNA from 1 species